ACGGCCGUACCAUGCUGAAUAUACCGGUUCUCGUUAGAUCACCGAAGUCAAGCAUCAUUGGGCGCGGUCAGUACUUGGGUGGGUGACCACCUGGGAACACUGCGUGCCGUU
rnacentral:rRNA from 1 species